rnacentral:rRNA from 1 species
UGCGCAGGCGGCUUUGUAAGUCAGAUGUGAAAUCCCCGGGCUUAACCUGGGAAUUGCGUUUGAAACUACAAGGCUAGAGUGUGGCAGAGGGAGGUGGAAUUCCAUGUGUAGCAGUGAAAUGCGUAGAGAUAUGGAAGAACAUCGAUGGCGAAGGCAGCCUCCUGGAUUAACACUGACGCUCAUGCACGAAAGCUGGGAGCAAACA